rnacentral:rRNA from 1 species
CUGAUUUUUCAAGUAGUUGGCCUCUUCUUCAGAAUCAGAUUCGUCUCUUCCUUUUAGCGCCACAACUUUCACUUUUUCGGUCUUUCCUGAUAAUAAAUGCUUUGUAAGAAUAUCCAUUUAUGUUUUCAUGUGCUCUAUAUCUUGAUCACGUUAUUCUUCUCUUCUUCUUUGGUCUGCAGUCAUGCCAAUAGAUAAAGCGGGUCUUGCUACCUCAAAAUCCCUGGUAUGCCAAGCUCUACAUUGUUUCGUCAUGCGAUCUAGCAUAUUGCUUGCUUGACCAAAGGUGUGGUCAAUAAAAGAUCCUCCAGCUGCAUUAUCCACCACUGGUUUAGUUAUUGAAUUCAAGGCCCUAUACAAGAUCUCCAUUAGGUGGACAUUAGUCAUGUGAUGGUUUGGGCAUCUCGCUAGCUUUGUCUUGAACCUCUCCUAUGUUUCAUGAAGAGCCUCAGUGGGAAGCUGAUGAAAGUUGCUGAUUUCAUCUCUCAAUUGUGCCCUUUUUAAUGGCGGAAAGAAUAUUUCUAGGAAAGCAUCUCUUAAUUGCCUCCAAUUUGUAAUAGAAUCAGGAGUUAGCCCAUUCAACCAUAGAGUUGCCUCCCCAGACAGAGACAAUAGAAAUAGAAGUAAUUGAAUUGCAUUCUGACCAACACCAGGAUUGUCAAACGACUUGCAUGUAGAAAUAAAGUUGAUGAUAUGCAUAUUCAGAUCAUCGCCUGCUAGUCCAACAAAUAAUCCCUUGAGUUGCAAAAACUGAAUCAUGGUGCUUGUGACGUUGAACUUGGCUCCGGGCGCUAAUGGUGGUGGAAUUAUGGCUCCAGUGGCUCUGGCACCAUCAAGAUCAUCAUCAUCAUCAUCGAAGAGCCUCGGGAAGAAUUAUCUUUUCUGUUUAAUAGCCUACCCACCCUGGAAUCGGCUCAGCCGGAGGUAGGGUCCAGCGGCUGGAAGAGCACCGCACGUCGCGUGGUGUCCGGUGCGCUCCCGGCGGCCCUUUAAAAUUUGGAGGACCGAAUGUCGUCCAUGCUCGGUCGUACUCAUAAUCUCAUCAGGUCUCCAUGGUGAACAACCUCUGGUCGAUGGAACAAUGUAGGCAAGGGAAGUCAGCAAAAUGGAUCUGUAACUUCGGGAAAAGGAUUGGCUCUGAGGGCUAGGCACAGGGGUCCUAGUCCCGCGCCCGUCGGCUGUCGGUGGACUGCUCAAGAUGCUUCCCGCGCCUUGAACAGCCAACUCAGAACUGGUAUGGACAAGGGGAAUCCGUCUGUUUAAUUAAAACUAAGCAUUGCGAUGGACCCAAUGGAUAUUCACGCAAUGUGAUUUCUGCCUAGUGCUCUAAAUGUAAAACUGAAGAAUUUCAACCAAGCGCGGGUAAACGGCGAGAGUAACUAUGACUCUCUUAAGGUAUCCAAAUGCCUCGUCAUCUAAUUAGUGACGCGCAUGAAUGGAUUAACGAGAUUCCCACUGUCCCUGUCUACUAUCCAGCGAAACCACAACAAGGGUACGGGCUUGGCAGAAUCAGCGGGGAAAGAAGACCCUGUUGAUCUUGACUCUAGUCCAACUUUGUGAAAUUACUUGAGAGGUGUAGUAUAAGUGGGAUCCGAAAGGCGAAAGUGAAAUACCACUACUUUUAAUGUUAUUUUACUUAUUCCGUGAAUGAGAAGCGGGGCACUGCCCCUCUUUUUGGACCCAAGGCUCGCUCUGUGGGACAAUCCGGGCGGAAGACAUUGUCAGGUGGGGAGUUUGGCUAGGGCGGCACAUCUAUUAAAAGAUAACGCAGGUGUCCUAAGAUGAGCUCAAGGAGAACAGAAAUCUCGUGUGGAACAGAAGGGUAAAAGCUCGUUUGAUUCUGACAUCGGGUACAAAUACGAACCAUGAAAGCGUGGCCUAACGAUCCUUUAGACCUUUGGAAUUCGAAGGUAGAGGUGUCAAAAAAGUUACCACAGGGAUAACUGGCUUGUGGCAACCAAGCGUUCAUAGAGACGUUGCUUUUAGAUCCUUCGAUGUCGGCUCUUCCUAUCAUUAUGAAGCAGAAUUCACCAAGUGUUGGAUUGUUCAGCCACCAAUAGGGAAUGUGAGCUGGGUUUAGACUGUCGUGAGACAAGUUAGUUUUACCCUACUGAUGACAGUGUCGCAAUAGUAAUUCAACCUAGUACGAGAGGAACCGUUGAUUCACACAUUGGUCAUCGUGCUUGGUUGAAAAGCCAGUGGCGCGAAGCUAUCGUUUGCUGGAUUAUGACUGAACGCCUCUAAGUCAGAAUAUGGGCUACAAGCGAUGCAUGUGCCCGUCGUCCGCUUGCCGACCCGCAGUAGGGGCCUCGGCCCCCAAGGGCACGUGUCGUUGGCUAAGCCGCCGCGGUGGAAGGGUCGCGACGGCCGCCUUAAAGUACAAGUGAAGUACAAUUUCCAUCGAGCGGAGGGCAGAAUCCUUUGCAGAUGACUUAAAUAUGCGAUGGGGUAUUGUAAGUGGCAGAGUGGCCUUGCUGCCAGGAUC